CUAACUGUCGAAAACAAUCAACAAUUCAACCCCAUUUGCAGUGUAAAAAUGGCAAAGAAUACAAAUAUGAAUACAAGUGUUUUGGAGAUUUGAUACCUGGUUCUGGGCAUUCGUGGCUGCUCCUAUGCUGUCGCCGGUGUCUGAUAAGGUGAAUAUUCCAAUCGGCGCAGCAUUACAGAACACAUAACCGACCAUUUCCAUCGGGCAUAAUCAACAAGUGCAGAUGCCAUUGGAUGACUUGACUUGCUCUCAAUGCUUGCAACCCUGAAAGUAAAGAAGUUUGUCGAUAGUAAUGGAGUUGCUGAUUGGGAUGAACUUCAAGAUAGUGAACUCUCCCCUUGUGAUAGUACCUGUUUUGUCAAAAGCUGCAACUUUAAUACCGGCCAGUGCUUCAAGAACAUCG